ACAGGAAAAAUUCCCCCAGCAUAGACUGGUGAAAAGACAGAGGGCUCUGGAAUUAAUCAAGCUGGGUUUCUGCUUCAGUUUUGUCCCUCAUAGUUACUCCUCUGGGUUAUAAAGACUGUGACUUCUGCCUUGCUGAUAUUCUCUCUCCCUGGGUCAUCUCCUGUGCUUGCUUUGAUGGAAAGACCUACCAGGAAAGCCUCUUGCAAACAGCCAGCAACAAAGUGAGGUUCUCAGUCCAGUAGCUUGUGAGAAACUGUAUCAUGCUAGCAACCAUGGAGUGAAAUUGGAAGUGGAUGCUACUUCAGUUGAAUGUUAAGAUGACUGCAGCCUGGGCUGACACCGUAAUAACAGUCUCAUGAAGACUCUGAGGCAGAGGACCCACCUAGAUGAACUGUGCCUGAAUUCUUGACCUACAAAAACUGUGAGAUAUUAAAUAUGCAUCAUUUCAAGUUGCUAAGUUUUGCAUUAACAUGUUAUGCAGCAACAGAUAACUAACACAACAGUGUUUAUCUUUUGUAUAAUAAGCAAAACUAAAAAAACUUUUUUUUUUAAAUAAGAAAGAUACAAUGGGAAGGAUAAAUUAGCAGCAAAAAGUCAAGAUGUAUUUGAAAAAUUAUUAUGAAGUGGAUUGAAACUGCAUGACCUGAUUGUCCUUAAUGAUGUCCAAGUAUACAAAUGUAUUUUAUUUUGGCAUAGCCUCAUAAACUCAUAGUAUGAAUUUUCAUACAAAUUUGCUGGAAAUUAGUAAUUCCAAUUUAUAAUAAUUCUUGAAAUAUGUAUAUUUUGAUAUUUUCUGGUGAGAUUUUGGCCAUCAGCUCUAUGAAGCAUUUGUUUUUGCAGGUAUUCUGAACCACAGAAGGCUGACUUGUUCUGCUUCAUAAUGACUUGACUUUGGUCAUUGAAAAAUGCUUGAGCUAAAGGAAGUCCAUAGUCCCUAUUUAUAUUCAGCUUUUACUAAAACACAUUUAUGGCAGAAAUUUAACAAGGAUUUAAGUCUUUGAGAAAAUUUUUUGUUUUAAAGAAUGAAGAAACUACUACACAGUGAUUCUUUUCUUUCACUGAAGCUCCCAAU
rnacentral:lncRNA from 10 species